AUUGAACGCUGGCGGCAGGCCUAACACAUGCAAGUCGAACGGUAACAGGAAACAGCUUGCUGUUUCGCUGACGAGUGGCGGACGGGUGAGUCAUGUCUGGGAAACUGCCUGAUGGAGGGGGAUAACUACUGGAAACGGUAGCUAAUACCGCAUAACGUCGCAAGCCCAAAGAGGGGGACCUUCGGGCCUCUUGCCAUCGGAUGUGCCCAGCUGGUAUUAGCUUGUAGGUGGGGUAACGGCUCACCUAGGCGACGAUCCCUAGCUGGUCUGAGAGGGUGACCAGCCACACUGGAACUGGACCACGGUCCAGACUCCUACGGGAGGCAGCAGUGGGGAAUAUUGCACAAUGGGCGCAAGCCUGAUGCAGCGAGGCCGCGUGUAUGAAGAAGGCCUUCGGGUUGUAAAGUACUUUCAGCGGGGAGGAAGGGAGUAAAGUUAAUACCUUGACUCAUUGACGUUACCCGCAGAAGAAGCACCGGCUAACUCCGUG
rnacentral:rRNA from 1 species